GACGAACCGUGCGAACGUUGUUCGGAUUCACUGGGCUUAAAGGGCGCGUAGGCGGGCGGUCAAGUCAGGGGUGAAAUCUUUCAGCUCAACUGGAAAAGUGCCUCUGAUACUGGCCAUCUCGAGGGAGGUAGGGGCAUGUGGAACUUCCGGUGGAGCGGUGAAAUGCGUAGAUAUCGGAAGGAACGCCGGUGGCGAAAGCGACGUGCUGGACCUCUUCUGACGCUGAGGCGCGAAAGCUAGGGGAGCAAACGGG
rnacentral:rRNA from 1 species